rnacentral:rRNA from 1 species
UACGUAGGUGACAAGCGUUGUCCGGAUUUACUGGGCGUAAAGCGCGCGCAGGCGGUCUUCCAAGUCAGUGGUGAAAGCCCGGAGCUCAACUCCGGAACUGCCAUUGAAACUGUUUAGCUUGAGGAUGAGAGAGGUGAGUGGAAUUCCCAGUGUAGAGGUGAAAUUCGUAGAUAUUGGGAAGAACACCGGUGGCGAAGGCGGCUCACUGGCUCAUUACUGACGCUCAGGCGCGAUAGCGUGGGGAUCAAACAGG